AUACGGAGGAUGCGAGCGUUAUCCGGAUUUAUUGGGUUUAAAGGGAGCGUAGGUGGGAUAUUAAGUCAGCUGUGAAAGUUUGGGGCUCAACCUUAAAAUUGCAGUUGAUACUGGUUUCCUUGAGUACGGUACAGGUGGGCGGAAUUCGUGGUGUAGCGGUGAAAUGCUUAGAUAUCACGAAGAACUCCGAUCGCGAAGGCAGCUCACCGGGCCGGAACUGACACUGAUGCUCGAAAGUGCGGGUAUCAAACAGGAUUAGAUACCCUGGUAGUCCGCACAGUAAACGAUGAAUACUCGCUGUUUGCGAUACACUGUAAGCGGCCAAGCGAAAGCGUUAAGUAUUCCACCUGGGGAGUACGCCGGCAACGGUGAAACUCAAAUGAAUCGACGGGG
rnacentral:rRNA from 1 species